rnacentral:rRNA from 1 species
UACGUAGGGUGCAAGCGUUAUCCGGAAUCACUGGGCGUAAAGCGUGCGUAGGCGGAAGCUUAAGUGUGAUGUUAAAUCGUGUGGCUCAACCAUAUCGAUGCAUCGCAUACUAGGUUUCUAGAGGACGGCAGAGGCAAGUGGAAUUGGUAGUGUAGCAGUGAAAUGCGUAGAUAUUACCAGGAACACCAAUGGCGAAGGCAGCUUGCUGGGCCGCCCCUGACGCUGAGGCACGAAAGCGUGGGGAGCGAACAGG